UAGGGAAUCUUCGGCAAUGGACGGAAGUCUGACCGAGCAACGCCGCGUGAGUGAGGAAGGUUUUGGGAUCGUAAAGCUCUGUUGUUGGAGAAGAACGGUGGUAGGAGGGGAAAAUCUACCAAGUGACGUUAACUAACCAGAAAGGGACGGCGAACGAGGUGCCAGCAGCGGCGGUAAUACGUAGGUCACGAGCGUUGUCCGGAUUUAUUGGGCGUAAAGCGAGCGCAGGCGGUUCUUUAAGUCUGAAGUUAAAGGCAAUGGCUUAACCAUUGUACGCUUUGGAAAAUGGAGGACUUGAGUGCAGAAGGGGAUAGUUGAAUUCCAUGUGUAGCGGUUAAAUGACUAGAUAUAUCGAGGAACACCGGUUGUGAAAGCGGAGCUAUGGUCCGUAACUGACGCUGGGGCUCGCAAGCGUGGGGAGCAAACAGG
rnacentral:rRNA from 1 species